ensembl:lncRNA
GUGUGGGACAGUGUGUGAGACAGUAGGAGACAGUCUGUGGGACAGUAGGAGACAGUCUGUGGGACAGUGUGAGACAGUCUGUGGGACAGUGUGUGAGACAGUAGGAGACAGUCUGUGGGACAGUGUGUGAGACAGUAGGAGACAGUCUGUGAGACAGUAGGAGACAGUCCGUGGGACAGUAGGAGACAGUCUGUGGGACAGUGUGUGAGACAGUAGGAGACAGUCUGUGGGACAGUGUGAGACAGUCUGUGGGACAGUGUGUGAGACAGUAGGAGACAGUCUGUGGGACAGUGUGUGAGACAGUAGGAGACAGUGUGUGAGACAGUAGGAGACAGUGUGUGAGACAGUAG